rnacentral:rRNA from 1 species
UACGGGAGGGCAGCAGUGGGGAAUAUUGCACAAUGGGCGAAAGCCUGAUGCAGCUAUGCCGCGUGUAUGAAGAAGGCCUUAGGGUUGUAAAGUACUUUCAUCGGGGAGGAAAAAACAAAACUAAUAAUUUUAUUUCUUGACGUUACCCGAAAAAGAAGCACCGGCUAACUCCGUGCCAGCAGCCGCGGUAAUACGGAGGGUGCUAGCGUUAAUCAGAAUUACUGGGCGUAAAGAGCACGUAGGUGGUUUUUUUAAGUCAGAUGUGAAAUCCCUGGGCUUAACCUGGAACUGCAUUUUGAAACUGAAAUACUAGAGUAUCGUAGAGGGAGGUAGAAUUCUAGGUGUAGCGGUGAAAUGCGUAGAUAUCUGGAGGAAUACCUGUGGCGAAAGCGGCCUCCUAAACGAAUACUGACACUGAGGUGCGAAAGCGUGGGGAGCAAACGAGGGAUUAGAUACC